rnacentral:rRNA from 1 species
AUGACGAUAGUCCUCAUCCCUAAAGGAAACGACCCGCAAUCUCUUAAGGACUAUAGACCGAUAAGCCUCUGAAACGUCAUCUACAAAGUGAUCUCAAAGUGUCUUGUGAACCGCCUUCGGCCUCUGCUGGAUGGAAUCAUCUCAGAAACCCAGAGUGCAUUUAUUCCCGGAAGGUUAAUCACGGACAAUGCCAUCAUUGCAUUUGAGUGCUUCCACAAGAUACAACGCUGCAAGAAUGCAAGGGACAAUUACUGUGCGUACAAAUUGGACCUUGCGAAGGCAUAUGAUAGAGUUGAUUGGGGCUGUUUGGAAGGACUCUUGAGGAAAUAUGGUUUUUGCGAAAAAUGGACCGGAUGGGUUAUGAAGUGUGUUAAAUCUGUGAGGUACUCUGUUAGAUGCAACGGAGAAUCGCUUGAACCUUUCAUCCCGUCCAGGGGCUAA